GAAAUGCGAUAAGUAAUGUGAAUUGCAGAAUUCAGUGAAUCAUCGAAUCUUUGAACGCACAUUGCGCCCGCCAGUAUUCUGGCGGGCAUGCCUGUUCGAGCGUCAUUUCAACCAUCAAGCCCCCGGCUUGUGUUGGGGACCUGCGGCUGCCCGCAGGCCCUGAAAAACAGUGGCGGGCUCGCUGUCACACCGAUCGUAGUAGCAUACAUUCUCGCUCAGGGCGUGCUGCGGGUUCCGGCCGUUAAACGACCUUCAUAACCCAAGGUUGACCUCGGAUCAGGUAGGAAGACCCGCUGAACUUAAGC
rnacentral:misc_RNA from 1 species